rnacentral:lncRNA from 1 species
UGUCCAUUCAGGACCAGUGUACGUUUCUUUGCAGAUAAACCUAUUUAGACUACACAGUGUCAAUGAAUUCUACUAUUACUUGGACUAUGGACAGGCCUGAUCCAAAGAAUGGGACACUGAAAUCAAAAGAAGGGAUCUGAUGGCAGAACUUUUGGCACAGCUCAAGCUCCCAGGCUGUCGGAGGGUGAACGCUGAGCACAUCAGAGAGAAUGACGAGACGUGAGAAGAACUCAGCUCAUGUGUCACUACUUGACAACACAGGACCCAAAAACAAUCAAGCAGAAAGUGAGGCUGUAGACCAGCCUGGCAUCAGUGAACUUCUUGUCAGCCUUCAACAAUUCACUCAUGCAUCCUUUUCAUGUAAACCUAGAAAAUACAUGUAAUACAAUACAGAAUCCUUGAUGUGACACUGGUUGGACUUUUUUAACUUAUAAGUAUAUAACUUGGAUAUGAUCAGUGAUUAAGUAUUCUAAAAUAAUGUGAAGAAAUUUUGCCACUAUAGUGCAGUUGCUAGCUGAAUUCAUAUGCUGCUGUUUGUGUUUGCUGUGUGGAUUAUUUAGUAUUCUUGAGCACCAAAGUCU